ensembl:lncRNA
GGCCGUUCCUGUCCCCGUUCCUGUUCCUGUCGGCCAAGUAGAGGUCGUUCCUGUUCCUGUCGGCCAAGUAGAGGUCGUUCCUUAUCCUGUCGGCCAAGUAGAGGUCGUUCCUGUUCCUGUCGGCCAAGUAGAGGUCGUUCCUGUUCCUGUCGGCCAAGUAGAGGUCGUUCCUGUUCCUGUCGGCCAAGUAGAGGUCGUUCCUGUUCCUGUCCUGUCGGCCAAGUAGAGGUCGUUCCUGUCGGCCAAGUAGAGGUCGUUCCUUUUCCUGUCGGCCAAGUAGAGGUCGUUCCUGUUCCUGCCGGCCAUGUUGCGGCCGUUCCAGUCCCUGUCGGCCAUGUUGCGGCCGUUCCAUUUCCUGUUCCUGUCCCUGUCGGCCAUGUUGCGGCCGUUCCUGUCUCUGGUCCCGUUCCCGUCGGCCAAGUAGAGGUCGCCCCAGGCCCCGUUCCUGUCGGCCCUGUAGCGGUCGUUCCAGUCCCUGUCACCCUCGGAGCCGCAGCGCCCGCUGGCCUCCAGGAGGAGGCAGCGCCUGCUGCAGUUCCUGCGCACCUCCAGGAGGAGGUCGCGCCAGCUGCAGUUCCUGCGCACCUCCAGGAGGAGGUCGCGCCAGCUGCAGUUCCUGCGCACCUCCAGGAGGAGGUCGCGCCAGCUGCAGUCCCUGCUCACCUCCAGGAGGAGGUCGCGCCAGCUGCAGUUCCUGCUCACCUCCAGGAGGAGGUCGCGCCAGCUGCAGUUCCUGCUCACCUCCAGGAGGAGGUCGCGCCAGCUGCAGUUCCUGCUCACCUCCAGGAGGGGGUCGCGCCAGCCGCAGUUCCGGCGGACCUCCAGGAGGGGGUCGCGCCAGCCGCAGUCCCGGCGGACCUCCAGGAGGGGGUCGCGCCAGCCGCAGUCCCGGCGGACCUCCAGGAGGGAGUCGCGCCAGCCGCAGUCCCGGCGGACCUCCAGGAGGGGGUCGCGCCAGCCGCAGUCCCGGCGGACCUCCAGGAGGGGGUCGCGCCAGCCGCAGUCCCGGCGGACCUCCAGGAGGGGGUCGCGCCCGUCGCAGUCCCGGCCGCACCUGCAUCGGUUCCUGGCGGUUCGGCCGCACCUGCAUCGGUUCCUGGCGGUUCGGCCGCACCUGCAUCGGUUCCUGGCGGUUCGGCCGCACCUGCAUCGGUUCCUGGCGGCCCGGCUCCGGUCGCACCUGCAUCGGUUCCUGGCGGCCCGGCUCCGGCCGCAUCUGUACCGGUUCCUGGCGGUCCGGCUCCGGCCGCAUCUGUACCUGUGUCUCGUCGCGGUGGUCCAAGGAGGACGCCGCUGGCCCCUGUUUCCCGUCGCGGAGGUCCAAGGAGGACGUCCCCACGUCUGUCUUCGCCUCUGGUUCCUGCCUCGUCCCCACGUCUGUCUUCGCCUCUGGUUCCUGCCUCGUCCCCACGUCUGUCUUCGCCUCUGGUUCCUGCCUCGUCCCCACGUCUGUCUUCGCCUCUGGUUCCUGCCUCGUCCCCACGUCUGUCUUCGCCUCUGGUUCCUGUCUCGUCCCCACGUCUGUCUUCGCCUCUGGUUCCUGCCUCGUCCCCACGUCUGUCUUCGUCUCUGGUCCCUGCCUCGUCUCUGUCUCUGCUGCCGGACUGGUGGCCUCGCCCUCGACGCCUCCUGCCGCCUGGAUGGCGCUGCCUCCUGCGGCGACGCCCGCCUCGACUCCUCAGUCUCUUGGAUCAGCGUCCACCUGGAGGACGUCGCCAUGCGGGGUGGUCCCCGGGGACAUCGGCCCAGCUCAAGGGCACUAAGAGUGCCACCCUGGCUCAGCGGCGGCUGAGCAGGAUCUCGCCGCGCCUUCACCCUCCGUGA